rnacentral:rRNA from 1 species
AGCGAACGUUAGCGGCGGGCUUAACACAUGCAAGUCGAGCGAGAAAGGGGCUUCGGCCCUGAGUACAGCGGCGGACGGGUGAAUAACACGUAGGUAACCUUCCUUCCAGCGGGGGACAACGGUCCGAAAGGACCGCUAAUACCGCAUACGUUCCCUGGGACCCUGGUCCCGGGGAGGAAAGCUCCGCAAGGGGCACUGGAUGAGGGGCCUGCGUAGCAUCAGCUAGUUGGUGGGGUAAUGGCCUACCAAGGCUAAGACGCUUAGCUGGUCUGAGAGGAUGAUCAGCCACACUGGGACUGAGACACGGCCCAGACUCCUACGGGAGGCAGCAGUGGGGAAUAUUGGACAAUGGGCGCAAGCCUGAUCCAGCCACGCCGCGUGAGUGAUGAAGGCCUCGGUCGUAAGACUCUGUGGGAGGGACGGAAUGGCGCCGUGAAGAGCGGCGAGUGACGGUACCGUCCUUACGCAAGCACCGGCGUAAC